CCAGCCCUUAGAGACCCAGACCCCGCCCCAGUGGGCGGCCGCGCCCGGUGCUCGGAGCAGCCCGCCUGGAGGGCCCGAGGGCCCGCGGAGGGGGCGGGGACUGGGCGGGGAGCGCGGAGGAGGCGGGGACUGGGCGGGGCGCGCGGAGGGGCGGGGACCGGGCGGGGCGCGCGGAACGGGAGGUGCGCCCAGGCGCUGCCCCAGCGCCCCCGCGUGGCUGCCGCGCGCAGUGCGCCCGCGGGAAACAAAGCAGGCGGCGGGGCGGCGCCGGGGACCCCAGAGGGCUGUCGUCCCAAUUACAGCUGCUGUGCCCGGCUGGCGACGACGACGCCCACCCACGGGCGAGGCUGUCCAUCCCGGCAGCGCCGACUCAGCGCUGAGCUGGCAGAUGGGCUGCGGGCCGAGUGUGAGUGCAGGGAGGGAAGGGCCGGCCGCUGCGGGCAGGACCUGGGCUCAUCCGGCGAGGUCCGCAGGGACUAACCCCGGGGCCCCAGACGCCCGGGGCAUGGCCGGAGCUGGCAGAGAGGCAGAGAAGCGGAAGUAGAGAGAAAGAGAGGACGCCCAUCCUUUGGCUCACUCCUCAACCACCUGGGAAGCCUAAGCCAGGAACUCAAUUCAGGUCUCCCAUGGGGGUGUCAGGGACCCAACCACUUGAGCAGUCACCGUUGCCUCCCAGAAUCUGCAUUCUCAGGAAGCCAGAGUAGGGAGCUAGAGGUGGGGCUUGAACACAGUCAUGGAAUGUAUUAAGCAAGGGAAUGACGUAAUCUAAUGCAUGCUGUAUUUUUUUAGAGAUUAUUUACUUGAAAGUCAAAGUUAGAGAGAGAGAGAGAGAAAGAGAGAGAGAGAGAGAGAGAGAGAGAUCUUCUUCCAUCCACUGGUUCACUCCCUAAAUGGCUAUAACAGCCAGCACUGGGCCAGGCUGAAGCCAGCAGCCAGAAGCUUCUUCUAGGUCUCCCACAUAGGUGCAAGGGCCCAAGCACUUCGGAUAUCUUCUUCUACUUUCCAAGGCACAUUAGCAGGGAGCUGGAUUGGAAGUGGAGCAGCUGGGGAUGCCAGCAUUGCAGGUGGUGGCUUAACCACAUAUGCCACAAUGCCAACCCCUAAUCUGUGUCUUAAAAAUGAGACAUGGCUGCCGCGUACAUAGUGAUGGCACAAGGGCAAGAGCUGGAAGCAGACGGAUGCAAUGAGGGACGAAAGCGCCUUCAUCUACUGUCUCCCAGCCUCCCCUAGUGCUAAUAUACCUCACAUGGCCAUAGUGCAAUGAUCAAUGUGGAAGACUGGCAUUGGUCCAAUACUGCUAAUUAAACCACAAAUCCCACUUGCAUUUCAGCAGGGUUUGCAUGCAUGUCCUUUUUCUGUUGCAGACACUAUCCGAGAUCCCAUUCUACAUUUGUCAUUUCUUCUGGGUCUCCAGUCUGUGCAGUCCUCCAGGGUUUCCCCGUCUCCUGGGAUUAGCCCCACCCAACAGGUGGUGCCGUUUGCUGUGAUGAGAAUGACUGUGAUGGGACAACGGAAGGGGCCAGGGCUUAGAGGGUGACAGAGGAAAAUCAGGAGUUCUAUUCUGGGAUAUUACGUUUUAUAUUUACAUGAAACAUCUAACUGAGGAUAUAAAUGAGGCAUUUAUAGUCUGAAGCUACAGAAAGAGGUCGUGGCUAACAUUAGGAAUUGGAGUCCUAAACACAGAAGAAUAUUCCAAGUCAUGGGACUGGAUUUAUUGAUGGAACCGCAGUGUGGGAUGCUCGGUUUUGGGUGUCAGGUGGACUGGGCUGAGGGACACCUGGGUGUGUCUGUGUGGGUGUUUCCAGGGAAGACAGGCGGUAUGCCGGAAAGCCGAGUGGGGAGACCCACCCUGAAUGUGGGCAGGCACCACGCAACCACGCCGGGUUAGACAGAGGGAGAAACCAGAGAAGGGACGCUCUCACUCCAGCUCUUCCUUCUGGAGUGGGCACGUGUUCUGCAGUUUGCUGCCCUAGGACACCAGGUCCUUUGGCCUUCGGACCCUGAGACUUGCACCAGCAACCCUCAGGGGCAGGGCUUUUGAGCUUUUAGCCUUGAACUGGGGAUGUGUUAUUGGUCUCUUUUCUUGCUGAGGCUUCUAGUGUCUUGGGAAUGAGCUGCUACUGGAUUCUUAGGCUCUCUGGCUUGCAGAGGGUCAUUGUAUGGUUUUCAUUUUUUAGAAGAUCUACUUUUUUGAAACAGUGGCAGAGAAAGAGAGAGAAUCUUCCACCUAAUGCUUCAAUCCCCACAUGGCCACAACAGCUAGGUCUGAACCAGGCUGAAGCCGGGAGCCAGGAACUCUACCUUGGUAGCAGGGGUUCAAGUUCCUGAGCCAUCAUCUGCUUCCUUCCCAGGCAUGUUAGCAGGAAGCUGGGUGGGGAGCAGAGCAGCCAGAACUGGAAAGAGAACUCCGAUAUGGGAUGUCAGCAUCACGAGUGGGAGUUUAACCUGCUGUGCUACAUCAGCUCUUAAAAAUAUAUUCUUCUGGGGCUGGGGCUGUGGUGUAGCGGGUAAAGCCGCCGCCCGCAGUGCCAGCAUCCCAUAUGGGUGCCAGUUCGAGUCCCGGCUGCUCCACUUCUGAUCCAGCUCUCUGUGAUGGCCUGGGAAAGCAGUAGAAGAUGGCCCAAGUCCUUGGGCUUCCACACCCAUGUGGGAAGACCCAGAGGAACCUCCUGGCUCCUGGCUUCGGAUCAGCCCAGCUCUGGCCAUUGCGGCCAAUGGGGGAGUGAACCAGUGGAUGGAAGACCUCUCUCUCUCUCUCUGCCUCUCCUCUCUCUAUGAACUCUGACUUUCAAAUAAAUAAAUAAAUAAAUCUUUAAAACA
ensembl:lncRNA